rnacentral:rRNA from 1 species
GCGCAUCAGGCGCGAAUACUUUACAAUGUGCGAAAGCACGAUAAGGGAACUCUGAGUGCCUCCUAAGGAGGCUGUUCAGGUGUCUAAAAGCACCUGAAGGAAGGGCUGGGUAAGACCGGUGCCAGCCGCCGCGGUAACACCGGCAGCCCAAGUGGUAGCCACGUUUAUUGGGUCUAAAGCGUCCGUAGCCGGCUGGGUAAGUUCCUUGGGAAAUUUGGCUGCUUAACAGUCAAGCUUUCAGGGAAUACUGCCCGGCUUGGGACCGGGAGAGGUCAGAGGUACUCCAGGGGUAGGGUGAAAUCCAUUAAAUCCUUGGGGGACCACCGGUAGCGAAGGCGUCUGACCAGACCGGGUCCGACGGUGAGGGACGAAAGGCUAGGGGCGCGAACC